UACUUUUUUUCUCUUCCUUUUGAGCUCUGAAACUCUCCAUAAAGUUUUCCCUUUUGUCUUUCACCCGCUUUUCCAGCUCCCUAUCCUGGACUGUUUUCAGCAGCUCAUGGACCUGCUCCGUGUCCUGACGCUGACGAUUAUUGAUGACAUGGUAUCGCCCUCCACAACACUCAAUUAUCCGCCUCAGGCCUGGGUGUUCUUUUUGCAGGUAUUCCUGUGGGAAAACAACGUGGCUUGUGUGAAUUCAGACCUGCAAUUAUUUGCAUCUUGUCUGUUGUUAUAGUACAAGAAUAACAUAACCACCUUAUAAUAUAGCCCCUUAUGUCAUACCGACAGUAUGUUCACAUAAUCCAACCUGAUAGAUUUUGACACACUCAAAUAAGGGGGCAAGUCAAACAAUAAAAGGCAAAAUGAUUUGCUAAAAGAGAAAGUAGGUGUACACCUCUCAUACCUCCACUGUUCUUCCCAUCAAGUAAUCCCCGCAGGUCAGCAUGACCAUAGUGUGGUCCAGCACUUCUUGUCCAAACAAUUCCACCAAUUCUGCAGGGACACGUCCCUCCAUCUGGGUGGGAAAAAGGGAAAGAGUUAAAAAAAUGAAAAAUCUAAAUCUGAUCUAAAUUUAAUGUUUGAUAUGAAACUGUUUUAAAAAAAUCUACAAGUUGUGUACGAUUGUACAGAUUUUUUCCAUAGUUGUGUGAUUGACAUUUUCAUAUUGAGUACAUAUUACAGAACGUGACUUCAACAAAGUUAAGUAACUGAUGACAUCACUGAGGGGCAAGCCAAGACUAACCUCUGUGAAUUGGCCAACAGGCACCAGGAGCAAAACAGCAUGUGGGCCUGGUGGUACCAGAGUCAUUGCUCGCUGUGUCUCCUUUCUGACACUGUCCUCCAUCUUGUCACCAUUCCAGUAACAUCUUGGUGCCUCCACCAGGGUCACAUUCCUGCCUUCAGUGAAGCCCUGUCGCAGCUGGCAGCUCCUGGAAGCGCUGGGAGAAAUGGGGGACAGCUGGCCCAGGAUAGUGUCUGCUGAUGAGGUUUUUCCACAUCCAAUAUUCCCCAAAAGGAGCAACCUCAGGUCUGAGGCCGAGGACCCAUCGUAGUGCUCUCUGUAGUGUUCACCCAUCCCUUGUGUGAAAGAAGGAAACCGGAAGCAGUCCAAAAAAAAAAAAAA